rnacentral:rRNA from 1 species
UACAGAGGUCUCGAGCGUUGUUCGGAUUCAUUGGGCGUAAAGGGCGCGUAGGCGGCGGGGUAAGUCUGGUGUGAAAUCUAGGAGCUCAACUCCUAAACUGCACUGGAUACUGCUCUGCUGGAGGACUGGAGAGGAGACUGGAAUUCACGGUGUAGCAGUGAAAUGCGUAGAUAUCGUGAGGAAGACCAGUGGCGAAGGCGGGUCUCUGGACAGUUCCUGACGCUGAGGCGCGAAGGCCAGGGGGAGCAAACGGG